rnacentral:rRNA from 1 species
UACGUAGGGUGCAAGCGUUGUCCGGAAUUAUUGGGCGUAAAGAGCUCGUAGGCGGUCUGUCGCGUCGGCUGUGAAAACCCGGGGCUCAACCCCGGGCCUGCAGUCGAUACGGGCAGACUAGAGUGCGGUAGGGGAGACUGGAAUUCCUGGUGUAGCGGUGAAAUGCGCAGAUAUCAGGAGGAACACCGGUGGCGAAGGCAGGUCUCUGGGCAUUAACUGACGCUGAGGAGCGAAAGCAUGGGGAGCGAACAGG